GAUAGGUGGGAGGCUUUGAAGCGUGGACGCCAGUCUGCGUGGAGCCGACCUUGAAAUACCACCCUUUAAUGUUUGAUGUUCUAACGUGGACCCGUAAUCCGGGUUGCGGACAGUGUCUGGUGGGUAGUUUGACUGGGGCGGUCUCCUCCUAAAGAGUAACGGAGGAGCACGAAGGUUGGCUAAUCCUGGUCGGACAUCAGGAGGUUAGUGCAAUGGCAUAAGCCAGCUUGACUGCGAGCGUGACGGCGCGAGCAGGUGCGAAAGCAGGUCAUAGUGAUCCGGUGGUUCUGAAUGGAAGGGCCAUCGCUCAACGGAUAAAAGGUACUCCGGGGAUAACAGGCUGAUACCGCCCAAGAGUUCAUAUCGACGGCGGUGUUUGGCACCUCGAUGUCGGCUCAUCACAUCCUGGGGCUGAAGUAGGUCCCAAGGGUAUGGCUGUUCGCCAUUUAAAGUGGUACGCGAGCUGGGUUUAGAACGUCGUGAGACAGUUCGGUCCCUAUCUGCCGUGGGCGCUGGAGAACUGAGGGGGGCUGCUCCUAGUACGAGAGGACCGGAGUGGACGCAUCACUGGUGUUCGGGUUGUCAUGCCAAUGGCACUGCCCGGUAGCUAAAUGCGGAAGAGAUAAGUGCUGAAAGCAUCUAAGCACGAAACUUGCCCCGA
rnacentral:rRNA from 2 species